GAAUACAAGGGGGGAUGAUUCUGCCAGACAGCUUUGAGGGGUCAUCCUGGUCUCAUUAUGUAGAUCUCAUGCCUGAACUAGUUGUCCUGAGCUUCCUUUUCAGUCAAAGGAGAGCAACUGCUGCUUUUAUGGUGCAGUUUAGUUGAGCAUUUUAGAUGUCUGCUUAAGAAGUAUGAUGACUCCUACCUUGCCCUUCUGCUGAUAAGAAAGGAGUUGAGGGAAGUCAACUUAGACGGGAAGUUUAUGAUUAUCUGAUACUAUUAAGUGAUCUGUAAACCUGCAUUCACCUUCUAACAGCUAACAAACUGUCAAACAUCUAUUCUUUCUGGACAAGUCUUACUAUUGCACCUCUCCUCAUUGGCUCUUCUAUCACUUGGAGAAGGAAGUUAUCAUAAUGUAUUCCUCCUGCAUUGUUUCUGCCCUGCUGUGUUGUCCUCCAACAGAUACUGGGGUGGUUGGAGUUCCCCAUGAGGACCAGGGCUUGUCAACAUGAGGCUGCUCCUGUCUGUCUAUGGAGGGCCUCAUCUGCUUGUUCUUCCUGGUGAGGUGGCCUUGCAGCAGACACCUACCAUGAUGUCCUGUUAAUCCUGACACAUUAGCUCUCCUUUGGCUCCUCAUCCACCCCCAGGUGGAGCUCCAUGCACUCCAGAUCGUCACUGACAUAGAGGGCAACACCCCCUCCUUAUCUCCCUGGCCUGCACUUCCUAAAGAACCUGUACCCUUCCAUUCCAACAUUCCAGCUGUAGGAGCCGUCCCACCACACCUCCUCAAUGCCAGUAUUUAAGAAAAGGCUAAACGAGAUAUUUUUGGUAAAUUGCAUUUCCUUGUUAGUCAUCACUUCCUUUUUCAUUCUGAGAAACUGCCCUCUUCAGACAUGCUCAUUUUAUUUGGCAGAAGUGCAGAUAACUCCAGAUGUUGCUGAUUCUUUUGCCUUAGGAAACUGCAGUUGCACCUGAGAGAAAAUAGAAGCCAACCUGGAAGAAAAAGAAAAGAGAUAAAUAAUAGCCUGGCUAGAGGAAAAGGAAAAUCAGAUUAAUUUAUAUGCUCUGGAUGAUCCCUAAUUGUUUCCUUUAAAGAUGAAUGAAAAGCCUUUUUAUUCACAAAAUGCUGAGUUCAGGGCCUUGUACCUCUCCUAUUAGAGUUGAAAACAUCACUGAUAAAGAGUUGCAUUUUCCAGCUUCCCUUAAGGGUCUACUAUUGGAGUGGAAAACAAAGCACCAAAUGUAGCAAUUGACAGAAAACAAAGAGUUCAGCCUGAGACCUGGAAAUUGCUUCAUAAGAGAACCAUCUGUGUAGAGAGAGAUGAACUGAGGCCCUCCUGGGUAUAAUUUAACAUCCACAAAUUGCCAUGAUGGGUGAAGAAAGAGUAAUGCCCACUGCCCAAGAGGAUGUGGAAGAGAAGCAGGAGGGAGUGCGUGCCUGUCCCAUGGCAAUGAUGAAUACUGCCCAUGCUGGGAGCUGCUGCCACGCUGUGGAGAUGCUCAGAGGGAAGAGAGGCUCCUGGGGAUCUUGAAACAACUUGGUUGCAUCAGGUGUUUGCCUCCGGCCAAGCCAACGUGCUCAAGCUUUUGGGCUCUCCUUGUCCUCCAGUUUUUCCCCCUUCAUCUCUCAGGAUUUCACCAGUGAGCCAAAGAGCACUUAUUUUCCCAUCACAGGUCCCCUGGGGGGUGUGGAGUCCGCAGAGCUGCCUCUUCAUGCGCAUUGGCUGGAGGACACAUCUGGACCAGGUUCAUAGAAGGGCAAUGUGGCUGGUGUGGUGGUGCACUGACGCUCUUUGACUCCACAGACUAAACAGAGUCCUUGCAUAUUCAUCCUGAGGAAAUUUGUUGAAAGCAUAGUCUGAGAGCUGUCAACAAAACCUGAGGAAGACUGAGUGAAAAUUUGCCAUCUAAUGGAAAAUUAAAUUUUUGAUAAAGUACUCCUUCAUUUUUUGCAAUCAAUGUGUACUUCCCUUAGACAUCCCAGUGUUUCCUCUAAGAAGCGUAUGCUUGAAUACAGAAACAUUUUUGGUGGAGGUAUUCUGCCCUGUUCAUGCAGUCAUAAGUGAACAGGGUGGUUUAGCUGUGCUUUCUCCUCUCUUCUGGGACAGGCCCUUUUCCUUAAGUCAUGCAAUAGGGGAUGGCCCUGUGUCACUGGCAUCCAAGGUGGGAAGAUGUGGUAUGUUAGAAAUAUAUAUGUGUGCAUGUGCAAACAUUGACACAAACUCUUUUGCAGAGCUGUUGCAUUGUGUUCAACUUCUCUUUAGAGCCAGAGGAUUCAGUGAGGGGCUGCAAGGGUGUGCAACAAGGGGGUGUGAGGUAUCAGUAUGAAAGUGAAACAGGAGGUGGUAGGGCAAGGGCAGGAGAGGGCAAAGGCAGAAGCCAGUAGGGCAGUAAAAACCCUUUAGCCUCUUCUAUCGUCUUGAUCUCCUUCCUCUCUGUUAAGUCCACAUCUGACAGUGCUUCCUGGGAAGUACAACUCACUUGAUUUUUAUUUUCUUCUCUUGGCUAAGCUUUGAUUCACCAUUCAUUCUCUCAAAAAAAGCCCAAUACCUCAGGAAUCUCCUACCAUGUGAGGCGCAAUCUGAUGAGAGAACUUAAGUUAUAGAAGAGAAGGGGAGCAUGCAGUAUUAGGCCUGUGCUCCAAAUUAAAGUAUUUUGGGUUUGAGUGACUGUUCUCCACAGUUAAUUGUUGCUAAAAGAUCCCAGUUUUCUAGACAAUGGGUUCUUCAGAAAAACUGUUUGAAGAAGCACAGCAAAAAAACGAGAGUGGACAGAAGAAUUUCAGCUAAGCUGGUUAAAUAAGCAGUGAUAUGAAAGGCAAAUUGGGAGAAUGUAAGUACAAGAGAAGGAGGGUUUUAUUUUCUAAUUCAGCAAAGUACUUAAAUGAAAGUCUCAAAUGAUAUCCUAGAUGAGAGUCUUGGUAAGGUAUUUAAGACAUACAGUUGUAGGAUAAAACCAAAUAAAUAAACAGCUUCUCAAAGAGUCUUUCUCUUGGGGUUUUCAAAAUAGGACUGCUUUUGUCAUAAUCCUUACAAAAACACAAAAGCAGCUUGUGUAAGUUAAUAAUUAUGCUUCAGGUCUCUGGGUUUUUUUUUGGGGGGGGCUGGUGCAUGGAGAGCCCAAGUUUCCCUGACUUAGCACAUGAGCACUUUCUGAUCUGAUCUCUGUUUGGCAGUGGGCUCCAGCCCUUGUGUGGCUGUCAGCAAAGUUUGUGUCCUUCAGCCCUCCUGAUGGUGACAGGCCACUGCAGUGCCUGGGCUGUAGCUGUUUCUCUGUGUGACAUUGUGCCAGGAGGCUAAAUCUGUCCCAUGCCCAGUCUUGGUGUUGAAAUGGAAGUACAGUGGGCAGUGCCUCACAGUCAGCGAUAUUUUAAACAAAUAACACCUUUUUCUUUUAUAUGGAUUUUUUCUGAGGGAACUUACAUACUUGGUUUGCACGUGGAAGUGUUAAGAUAAUUUUUGUGUGUAUGUGAGCACACGUGUAAGAGAGAGAGAAAGCUCCCCAUCUAACCUUAGAAAUUUUUAACCAGGUAUUCUAUACUUCCUUCUUUAAUGUUGCUGAAAGUGUACUGUGUCUUGCUAGAAAAACUAUUCAGUAUGCUUAAGGACUUAGAAAAUAAUCUCAAAGUCUAUCCUUCAAGGGUGUGAUCUAUUGCUUGCUUUUACCUGCAGGCAUAGAAAUAAAUACCUAUUACCUGUGGAUAUUUAUACCCUCUGAAUUCCUGCAAAGAGCCAGUCCUAAUUUCAGCAGCUCUGCUGGGGUGAAGCUGAUGCCUCUAACUAUCCCUUGCAUCUGCUGAAAAGUACUACAAGCAACCACUUCAGGGUUGUAACUAUGAUCAUGCAAUUAUUGUCACCUGUCUGCAGAAAAAAAGUGCCAAAACAAGCAUAUUGAGAACAGUAAUGUGAUCUGGAAAGUCUAGAGAUUGCUGCAAUAACCUAGUUUUGAACAUAUUAUGUGAUUUUUUUCACAUGGAUAAUAUUAAUACCCAGACACAUUUUUCAUUAUCACUCUCUAGCAUUUCUAGAGAGUGAUGCCAGAGUUACUAUGUAUAUAUCAUCCCUUGCUCUUGCAUAUGAUAACUGUCAUCAAUACUGUAUUUGUGGAAAUAUCAGAAAUUCAUAAAUAUCAAUUAAUUAAUAGCUAUGAUAACAUCCAUGUUCAGGUGCAUACUGGCUCAGGAGUGGUGAAUCACUCAGAUCUCUCCUCUCUGGAUACUCUUUGAGUGGCAUGUCCAGAGGGUGGUUUAACAAGGCUACUACAGCAGCCCCUUCUCCAUAUGUCUGUCCUGUUCUAGCAGAAAGAAAGGCUGCGGGAACAAGGUGCUUUGCCCUGCUUUGCAGCUUGGUGGGAAGGAACCUGAGGAGGUGACUAAAGCCAGACCUACACAGGACUCUCAUGAGAGUGAAGGUAAAGUAUGACAUUCAUAAAGGUGUUCAUUUUAUGAUGCUCGUAUUAUGAUGUUCAUAAAGAGUGUUUGUGCAUCUUUGCUGUUCUGUAUCAGUUUGUCCAUGGUCUGGAGGGAAUUUUGAGGCUAUAAGCUGAAAUGGGGCAUAAAACUGAUCUAGGUUAAAUAUAUUCCCUUACCCACCUUGCAUUUUUUUUUUUGCAAACUUGGUUAAGCUCAUAAUCCCAGGUCACCAUGUGCUCCCUCACACUGUCAAUGUGAU